rnacentral:ncRNA from 7 species
CACCACCAGGAGUGGAGCCUGCGG